rnacentral:rRNA from 1 species
CGUUAUAACCGGCGAUUUCCGAAUGGGGAAACCCAGUGUGUUUCGACACACUAUCAUUAACUGAAUCCAUAGGUUAAUGAGGCGAACCGGGGGAACUGAAACAUCUAAGUACCCCGAGGAAAAGAAAUCAACCGAGAUUCCCCCAGUAGCGGCGAGCGAACGGGGAGCAGCCCAGAGCCUGAAUCAGUAUGUGUGUUAGUGGAAGCGUCUGGAAAGGCGCGCGAUACAGGGUGACAGCCCCGUACACAAAAAUGCACAUGCUGUGAGCUCGAUGAGUAGGGCGGGACACGUGGUAUCCUGUCUGAAUAUGGGGGGACCAUCCUCCAAGGCUAAAUACUCCUGACUGACCGAUAGUGAACCAGUACCGUGAGGGAAAGGCGAAAAGAACCCCGGCGAGGGGAGUGAAAAAGAACCUGAAACCGUGUACGUACAAGCAGUGGGAGCACGCUUAGGCGUGUGACUGCGUACCUUUUGUAUAAUGGGUCAGCGACUUAUAUUCUGUAGCAAGGUUAACCGAAUAGGGGAGCCGAAGGGAAACCGAGUCUUAACUGGGCGUUAAGUUGCAGGGUAUAGACCCGAAACCCGGUGAUCUAGCCAUGGGCAGGUUGAAGGUUGGGUAACACUAACUGGAGGACCGAACCGACUAAUGUUGAAAAAUUAGCGGAUGACUUGUGGCUGGGGGUGAAAGGCCAAUCAAACCGGGAGAUAGCUGGUUCUCCCCGAAAGCUAUUUAGGUAGCGCCUCGUGAAUUCAUCUCCGGGGGUAGAGCACUGUUUCGGCAAGGGGGUCAUCCCGACUUACCAACCCGAUGCAAACUGCGAAUACCGGAGAAUGUUAUCACGGGAGACACACGGCGGGUGCUAACGUCCGUCGUGAAGAGGGAAACAACCCAGACCGCCAGCUAAGGUCCCAAAGUCAUGGUUAAGUGGGAAACGAUGUGGGAAGGCCCAGACAGCCAGGAUGUUGGCUUAGAAGCAGCCAUCAUUUAAAGAAAGCGUAAUAGCUCACUGGUCGAGUCGGCCUGCGCGGAAGAUGUAACGGGGCUAAACCAUGCACCGAAGCUGCGGCAGCGACGCUGAUGCGUUGUUGGGUAGGGGAGCGUUCUGUAAGCCUGCGAAGGUGUGCUGUGAGGCAUGCUGGAGGUAUCAGAAGUGCGAAUGCUGACAUAAGUAACGAUAAAGCGGGUGAAAAGCCCGCUCGCCGGAAGACCAAGGGUUCCUGUCCAACGUUAAUCGGGGCAGGGUGAGUCGACCCCUAAGGCGAGGCCGAAAGGCGUAGUCGAUGGGAAACAGGUUAAUAUUCCUGUACUUGGUGUUACUGCGAAGGGGGGACGGAGAAGGCUAUGUUGGCCGGGCGACGGUUGUCCCGGUUUAAGCGUGUAGGCUGGUUUUCCAGGCAAAUCCGGAAAAUCAAGGCUGAGGCGUGAUGACGAGGCACUACGGUGCUGAAGCAACAAAUGCCCUGCUUCCAGGAAAAGCCUCUAAGCAUCAGGUAACAUCAAAUCGUACCCCAAACCGACACAGGUGGUCAGGUAGAGAAUACCAAGGCGCUUGAGAGAACUCGGGUGAAGGAACUAGGCAAAAUGGUGCCGUAACUUCGGGAGAAGGCACGCUGAUAUGUAGGUGAAGUCCCUCGCGGAUGGAGCUGAAAUCAGUCGAAGAUACCAGCUGGCUGCAACUGUUUAUUAAAAACACAGCACUGUGCAAACACGAAAGUGGACGUAUACGGUGUGACGCCUGCCCGGUGCCGGAAGGUUAAUUGAUGGGGUUAGCGCAAGCGAAGCUCUUGAUCGAAGCCCCGGUAAACGGCGGCCGUAACUAUAACGGUCCUAAGGUAGCGAAAUUCCUUGUCGGGUAAGUUCCGACCUGCACGAAUGGCGUAAUGAUGGCCAGGCUGUCUCCACCCGAGACUCAGUGAAAUUGAACUCGCUGUGAAGAUGCAGUGUACCCGCGGCAAGACGGAAAGACCCCGUGAACCUUUACUAUAGCUUGACACUGAACAUUGAGCCUUGAUGUGUAGGAUAGGUGGGAGGCUU